UGUCCAAGUUUAAGGUGGUAGGCUGAAAUCUUAGGUAAAUCCGGGGUUUCAAGGCCGAGAGCUGAUGACGAGUCGUCUUUUAGAUGACGAAGUGGUUGAUGCCAUGCUUCCAAGAAAAGCUUCUAAGCUUCAGGUAACCAGGAACCGUACCCCAAACCGACACAGGUGGUCGGGUAGAGAAUACCAAGGCGCUUGAGAGAACUCGGGUGAAGGAACUAGGCAAAAUGGCACCGUAACUUCGGGAGAAGGUGCGCCGGCUAGGGUGAAGGAUUUACUCCGUAAGCUCUGGCUGGUCGAAGAUACCAGGCCGCUGCGACUGUUUAUUAAAAACACAGCACUCUGCAAACACGAAAGUGGACGUAUAGGGUGUGACGCCUGCCCGGUGCCGGAAGGUUAAUUGAUGGGGUUAGCGCAAGCGAAGCUCUUGAUCGAAGCCCCGGUAAACGGCGGCCGUAACUAUAACGGUCCUAAGGUAGCGAAAUUCCUUGUCGGGUAAGUUCCGACCUGCACGAAUGGCGUAACGAUGGCGGCGCUGUCUCCACCCGAGACUCAGUGAAAUUGAAAUCGCUGUGAAGAUGCAGUGUAUCCGCGGCUAGACGGAAAGACCCCGUGAACCUUUACUGUAGCUUUGCACUGGACUUUGAGCCUGCUUGUGUAGGAUAGGUGGGAGGCUUUGAAGCGUGGACGCCAGUUCGCGUGGAGCCAUCCUUGAAAUACCACCCUGGCAUGCUUGAGGUUCUAACUCUGGUCCGUAAUCCGGAUCGAGGACAGUGUAUGGUGGGCAGUUUGACUGGGGCGGUCUCCUCCUAAAGAGUAACGGAGGAGUACGAAGGUGCGCUCAGACCGGUCGGAAAUCGGUCGCAGAGUAUAAAGGCAAAAGCGCGCUUGACUGCGAGACAGACACGUCGAGCAGGUACGAAAGUAGGUCUUAGUGAUCCGGUGGUUCUGUAUGGAAGGGCCAUCGCUCAACGGAUAAAAGGUACUCCGGGGAUAACAGGCUGAUACCGCCCAAGAGUUCAUAUCGACGGCGGUGUUUGGCACCUCGAUGUCGGCUCAUCACAUCCUGGGGCUGAAGCCGGUCCCAAGGGUAUGGCUGUUCGCCAUUUAAAGUGGUACGCGAGCUGGGUUUAGAACGUCGUGAGACAGUUCGGUCCCUAUCUGCCGUGGACGUUUGAGAUUUGAGAGGGGCUGCUCCUAGUACGAGAGGACCGGAGUGGACGAACCUCUGGUGUUCCGGUUGUCACGCCAGUGGCAUUGCCGGGUAGCUAUGUUCGGAAAAGAUAACCGCUGAAAGCAUCUAAGCGGGAAACUUGCCUCAAGAUGAGAUCUCACUGGGAACUUGAUUCCCCUGAAGGGCCGUCGAAGACUACGACGUUGAUAGGCUGGGUGUGUAAGCGUUGUGAGGCGUUGAGCUAACCAGUACUAAUUGCCCGUGAGGCUUGAUC
rnacentral:rRNA from 1 species